rnacentral:rRNA from 1 species
AGCAGCCGCGGUAAUUCCAGCUCCAAUAGCGUAUAUUAAAGUUGUUGCAGUUAAAAAGCUCGUAGUUGAAUUUCGAGAUCAGUACGCUGGUCGUGCCUUCGGUAUGCACUGGUGUCACUGGUUUCUCCCUUCUGAAGAACCGUCAUGCCAUUCAGUUGGUGUGGCGGGGAAUCAGGACUGUUACUUUGAAAAAUUAGAGUGUUUAAAGCAGGCUCGCGCUUGAAUACAUUAGCAUGGAAUAAUGAAAUAGGACGUUUGACCCUAUUUUGUUGGUUUCUAGGAUCGACGUAAUGAUUAAUAGGGAUAGUUGGGGGCAUUAGUAUUCAAUUGUCAGAGGUGAAAUUCUUGGAUUUAUUGAAGACUAACUACUGCGAAAGCAUUUGCCAAGGAUGUUUUCAUUAAUCAAGAACGAA